AGGACACUCACGUCCUCACCAGGGAGGGAGAGGGCGACUGGCUGGGGAGACUGGAUUUUCCCAGGAGCAGCUUUGCCAAAGGCAGGGGCUCCCUUGUACCCACAGAGCCAACAGCCCUUCCAACCCCCAGCCCCACCAACACCUUUAAUGCUGUCCACGGUUCCCUUCUCCUCUGCUCUGCGGCACUCGAAGCCUGUCCUUGCCUUGCUGGCCACCUGGGGCCACCCCUUCCCCCACAGCCACGGGUAUAAAACUAUAUUCAUUCUGUGAAACCUGGGAUUAAGUCUUCACGCAAACAUUGGCUGUAACAAUUGAAAAGUGACUUCACCAAGGACUGAUGUGCAGGCCCCAGUCUGCCUACAGAUCUGUCACAGUGGAACACUGCUCAGCGCUUCAUCCUUCACAAUAAAUGGCCAGGGUCUGCAGGCCAGAAAUCCCAGUUGUAUUGGAUCAGGACCCACCGUCAUUCAGCAUGACCUCACUUGAACUUGAUCAUGUCUGCAAAGACCUUGUUUCCCAAUAAAGGACACAUUUACAGUGAUUUUUUUUCUAAGGGGAGGUUUACUUAUCCCUCACUGAUGGUGUUGAAGAAAAAUGGGGCAGGAGAGGAUGACUGUGUACUGCUCUCUGGAUAGAACCUCCCCAGAGACCAGUGUGCUCUGACUCCAACUCAGAUGAACCCAAGAUGCAGCUUCCGGUUGCUUAUUGGGUCUCUGUGGCAGUGAUUCAGUAUCUUAUAAUCCUUCGGAGUCACAGAUCUCGCUACAGCAAAUCUGGCUUCAGAUCCAGGAGACCGUAACCCCCACAGACCAGCAGACAUCAAGUCUGGGCACCACAGACCCAUGGCACCGGCUAGCUCAAGAACUUGGAAGGUCCUUUGACUCCUACUUAGAUGUUUCUCUAAGUUAAGGAAAAACCAAUUAUGUGUUUAUUCUGCAGAAGCUUAAGGGCUCAUAAAACUAGGGGAAAACAGACUUCUGCUUUAAGAUGGUGGAUUUUUCACAAGGAUUUUUCUUUUUCCUCCCAAAUCUCAAUAAAGAGAUACAAAACUAAAAAAUUUCCUUAACAGGAAGGGGGAGUAGAAGAAGGGGUUAUAGGCAAAGAAGACAUUAAAAUGGAUACAGAGAGAUGGAAAAGGCUAGAUGACAGAUGGGAAGAAGCCAAGGAUGGCUGUGCCCAUUCCAAGAACAUGGCAGUGGGGCUUACAACAGUGGCCAGUCCUCCCAGCAGAACACAGAGAGACUGGAAAGUGAUCAGGGGCAUCAGACAGGAUGUUUAAUUGAAGGUUUAUCAACAGAACAGUUGUGUCAAUUAGUCUCUAGCCUAAAACCCUACCCACUUCACCAGGAGAGACCAGCAAUCAGGUAUUUACCCCUGAGUGAACUGAAAAACCAGAAGACUCCUCCUAAAGGCAGUUGACCAAGGAGAUCCAACAGUCUCAGUGUGGGUUUUGGGGACUUCCUGUUCAGAUAUCAAAGAAUGCUCUGAAGAGCACCAGCAACCUACCGGUGAACCCUAAAGCAAAGUCUACUGGUGCACAUGGCUAAGCCCAUGCAUGAUUCUUGCCUCCAAGCCUUUAUUAGCUCAGGGUACGGCUUGUUGAUGAGACACAACAUGCCAGCUACAGGAAACAUGUUCCUUCAAUCUCAGAUAUGAACAGAGGACUAAAGAUAACCAGACACAUGGGGAAAGCUGGCCAUCUGAAAGAAAAAGACCAAGAAAACUAAACAGAAUAGCUGACCCCAUAAGAUUAAAAUCACAACCCAGGGAUGAGAGAGAACCUGACUAAUCUAGUGAUUAGGUUGGUGCAAAGAUAACUGUAGUUUUGCAUUGUUGAACUUUGCUGUUUGAUAUUGGAAUAUAUCCUUAAGUAAAUGUGGUUAUGUUAUAUAUCAUUUUAAUGUGCAUUUCUCACUCUAUGUUUUUUUUACUAAUGACUUACCACUUGUUUAUUUUAUAUAUUUUAG
ensembl:lncRNA